UGGUCAUUCAAAUUUCUGCCCUAUCAACUUUCGACGGCUGGGUCUUGGCCAGCCGUGGUGACAACGGGUAACGGAGGGUAAGGGCUCGACCCCGGAGAAGGAGCCUGAGAAACGGCUACCACAUCCAAGGAAGGCAGCAGGCGCGCAAAUUACCCAAUCCUGAUCAGGGAGGUAGUGACAAUAAAUAACAAUACAGGGCCCUUUGGGUCUUGUAAUUGGAAUGAGUACAAUUUAAAUCCCUUAACGAGGAACAAUUGGAGGGCAAGUCUGGUGCCAGCAGCCGCGGUAAUUCCAGCUCCAAUAGCGUAUAUUAAAGUUGUUGCAGUUAAAAAGCUCGUAGUUG
rnacentral:rRNA from 1 species